GGCGGCUUUGUGCCUGCCGGCGGCCUGCCCAGCGUGACCCCCUGGAGUCGGGGCGCGUCACAGUCUUUGCCCCUUGGCCACCCGUGAAGCCCCUUGGCGUGUUGAGGCCCCUCUGGCCUCCAUGCAGCCCGGGGGGCGGGUCUGAGGCUCUCCUCUCCUGCUCGGCGGUAGGGAUGGCGCCCCAGACAUUGGCUGCACAGGGCUCGCUCGCCCUUCUGGGAAGUUUUGUUUGUGUGUCCUUGUCCUUGUCUUUGUCCUUGUGGGUGUGAGCGAGCGAGCGAGUGAGCUUGUCCUUUAGGCCCCUCUUAAAAGCGCUGCAGCUUAGCUUAAGCUUCCCAGGAGGGAAAGGGCGGCUCUGUGCAGCAACAGGGGGGUCCCCUCUGAGCCCGCGAGCGGAGGGAGAGUCCGGGCUUGCCCCUCCUUUCUAUAAGGACGGAGCGAAGCCGCUUAGCGGUAGAGCGGGCAACGCGACCUGCCUGUAGUCAGGGCCUGGGUGUCUCUGCCUGCGUGGCCGCCUGUCCUGCUGGCGAGCUGCCAGCGUGACAGCCCUGUACUCGGGGCGUGUGUCACGAGCCGUGGAGCCCUCUUGUCCCCAGGAGCAGCCCGACCUCCCCGUAAGCGGGGCUGGGGGGGCCGCUCUAGCCAGCCCACAGGAACGAGCCCUCCCUCGCCCUUUAGCGGGCGCAGGUUGAGGAAGCGCUGCGCCGGAGGGCGCAGUCCCGCCUUUGGCGCUGCUUUUGGCUGGGGCGACCUCCCCGCGGUUGGGGUCGAGGUCGCUCCCUGGGCUCCUGAAGACGUGGCGUUGUGCUGCAGCCAGGCCGGCCGGCCCGUAAGUCGGGCGCAGGUGGGAGCCUCGGGCUCCGCGGGGCUUGUUGGGAGAGCCGAGCCGAGGGGGGCCGCCCUGUAAGCAGGGCUGUGCGUGUCCCCCGCGCUCGGCGGGAGGUGCUUGGAGGGACCCCCUGUAAUCAGGCGGGUAUCUCCUGGCCCCGGCCUUUCAGAGGCGCGGGGCCAGGAUGCGUGGGGGCCGGGCGUGCGCCCCCCCCGUCCUCGGGGCUGGGGCUGCGGCCCCCCGGCCUUUGGCCGUGAAGCUCCGCUGCCUGGCUGUCGAGUCUCGUUCCUGUGGCUGCGGGGGAAGGCCGAGCUCCCCGACUCCCUGGGUGUCGACCUGCCUGUAAGCAGGGUUCCGGGUCUGGGAGCCUUUGUGCUCAGCUGGCAGCCUGCGUGGGGUGACCGGCCCCGUUAGCGGGGUGCGGGUCGGGGUGCCCCUGAAUCGGAGAGAAGGAGCCUCCGUGGGCCUUUGGGACCAGGGCUGCCCUGUAAGUCAGGGCCCGGCCAGUGCCCUGCAGUCCCGGGCGCUUUGCGGUCCAGGCAGCGGCUCGAGCCCCCUGUAAGCAGGGACGCGGAGCCUCGUUGGCCGCUGCUUUGCAUGCCCAGCUUCGUUUGCCCAGGGUGCCCGCCUCCGAGCCCGGCUCCAGCACCGGCUGGAACUCUGGCCUGCGUCGCUUUGCGGCCGGCGGAGAAGAAAGAAGAGGCUUCGUGUGGAACGGCGAGUCAAGAGCGAGCGAGAAGAGGAGCGGCGUCGGGCUGAAGAGCGGGCAGAGGAGAAAGGCGCUCUGGGCAAAGGGACCUCCCUGUCAGCAGGGCGCGGUCACGUAAGAGCAUCGCGGGCACCUUUGGGGUGCCCCGGCUGGCUUUGCGCUGGGCGACCUCCCUGUAACCAGGGCUCGGUCUUUGCUUUUGUUGUCGUCGGCCUUUUGCCGUCGUGCUCCUUUGGCUGCCCGGAGAGAGCGGCGACCCUGUAAGGAGGGUGAGAGCCGCCGUCUCCGCACCCGAGGGGGGAAAGGGAGCUCUCUGGACCCCGAGCCCACCCUGUAAGCAGGGGAGGGCUGUUUCCCCGGCCCCCUCCUCUGGCCCCGGCGGCUUUGUGCCUGCCGGCGGCCUGCCCAGCGUGACCCCCUGGAGUCGGGGCGCGUCACAGUCUUUGCCCCUUGGCCACCCGUGAAGCCCCUUGGCGUGUUGAGGCCCCUCUGGCCUCCAUGCAGCCCGGGGGGCGGGUCUGAGGCUCUCCUCUCCUGCUCGGCGGUAGGGAUGGCGCCCCAGACAUUGGCUGCACAGGGCUCGCUCGCCCUUCUGGGAAGUUUUGUUUGUGUGUCCUUGUCCUUGUCUUUGUCCUUGUGGGUGUGAGCGAGCGAGCGAGUGAGCUUGUCCUUUAGGCCCCUCUUAAAAGCGCUGCAGCUUAGCUUAAGCUUCCCAGGAGGGAAAGGGCGGCUCUGUGCAGCAACAGGGGGGUCCCCUCUGAGCCCGCGAGCGGAGGGAGAGUCCGGGCUUGCCCCUCCUUUCUAUAAGGACGGAGCGAAGCCGCUUAGCGGUAGAGCGGGCAACGCGACCUGCCUGUAGUCAGGGCCUGGGUGUCUCUGCCUGCGUGGCCGCCUGUCCUGCUGGCGAGCUGCCAGCGUGACAGCCCUGUACUCGGGGCGUGUGUCACGAGCCGUGGAGCCCUCUUGUCCCCAGGAGCAGCCCGACCUCCCCGUAAGCGGGGCUGGGGGGGCCGCUCUAGCCAGCCCACAGGAACGAGCCCUCCCUCGCCCUUUAGCGGGCGCAGGUUGAGGAAGCGCUGCGCCGGAGGGCGCAGUCCCGCCUUUGGCGCUGCUUUUGGCUGGGGCGACCUCCCCGCGGUUGGGGUCGAGGUCGCUCCCUGGGCUCCUGAAGACGUGGCGUUGUGCUGCAGCCAGGCCGGCCGGCCCGUAAGUCGGGCGCAGGUGGGAGCCUCGGGCUCCGCGGGGCUUGUUGGGAGAGCCGAGCCGAGGGGGGCCGCCCUGUAAGCAGGGCUGUGCGUGUCCCCCGCGCUCGGCGGGAGGUGCUUGGAGGGACCCCCUGUAAUCAGGCGGGUAUCUCCUGGCCCCGGCCUUUCAGAGGCGCGGGGCCAGGAUGCGUGGGGGCCGGGCGUGCGCCCCCCCCGUCCUCGGGGCUGGGGCCGCGGCCCCCCGGCCUUUGGCCGUGAAGCUCCGCUGCCUGGCUGUCGAGUCUCGUUCCUGUGGCUGCGGGGGAAGGCCGAGCUCCCCGACUCCCUGGGUGUCGACCUGCCUGUAAGCAGGGUUCCGGGUCUGGGAGCCUUUGUGCUCAGCUGGCAGCCUGCGUGGGGUGACCGGCCCCGUUAGCGGGGUGCGGGUCGGGGUGCCCCUGAAUCGGAGAGAAGGAGCCUCCGUGGGCCUUUGGGACCAGGGCUGCCCUGUAAGUCAGGGCCCGGCCAGUGCCCUGCAGUCCCGGGCGCUUUGCGGUCCAGGCAGCGGCUCGAGCCCCCUGUAAGCAGGGACGCGGAGCCUCGUUGGCCGCUGCUUUGCAUGCCCAGCUUCGUUUGCCCAGGGUGCCCGCCUCCGAGCCCGGCUCCAGCACCGGCUGGAACUCUGGCCUGCGUCGCUUUGCGGCCGGCGGAGAAGAAAGAAGAGGCUUCGUGUGGAACGGCGAGUCAAGAGCGAGCGAGAAGAGGAGCGGCGUCGGGCUGAAGAGCGGGCAGAGGAGAAAGGCGCUCUGGGCAAAGGGACCUCCCUGUCAGCAGGGCGCGGUCACGUAAGAGCAUCGCGGGCACCUUUGGGGUGCCCCGGCUGGCUUUGCGCUGGGCGACCUCCCUGUAACCAGGGCUCGGUCUUUGCUUUUGUUGUCGUCGGCCUUUUGCCGUCGUGCUCCUUUGGCUGCCCGGAGAGAGCGGCGACCCUGUAAGGAGGGUGAGAGCCGCCGUCUCCGCACCCGAGGGGGGAAAGGGAGCUCUCUGGACCCCGAGCCCACCCUGUAAGCAGGGGAGGGCUGUUUCCCCGGCCCCCUCCUCCGGCCCCGGCGGCUUUGUGCCUGCCGGCGGCCUGCCCAGCGUGACCCCCUGGAGUCGGGGCGCGUCACAGUCUUUGCCCCUUGGCCACCCGUGAAGCCCCUUGGCGUGUUGAGGCCCCUCUGGCCUCCAUGCAGCCCGGGGGGCGGGUCUGAGGCUCUCCUCUCCUGCUCGGCGGUAGGGAUGGCGCCCCAGACAUUGGCUGCACAGGGCUCGCUCGCCCUUCUGGGAAGUUUUGUUUGUGUGUCCUUGUCCUUGUCUUUGUCCUUGUGGGUGUGAGCGAGCGAGCGAGUGAGCUUGUCCUUUAGGCCCCUCUUAAAAGCGCUGCAGCUUAGCUUAAGCUUCCCAGGAGGGAAAGGGCGGCUCUGUGCAGCAACAGGGGGGUCCCCUCUGAGCCCGCGAGCGGAGGGAGAGUCCGGGCUUGCCCCUCCUUUCUAUAAGGACGGAGCGAAGCCGCUUAGCGGUAGAGCGGGCAACGCGACCUGCCUGUAGUCAGGGCCUGGGUGUCUCUGCCUGCGUGGCCGCCUGUCCUGCUGGCGAGCUGCCAGCGUGACAGCCCUGUACUCGGGGCGUGUGUCACGAGCCGUGGAGCCCUCUUGUCCCCAGGAGCAGCCCGACCUCCCCGUAAGCGGGGCUGGGGGGGCCGCUCUAGCCAGCCCACAGGAACGAGCCCUCCCUCGCCCUUUAGCGGGCGCAGGUUGAGGAAGCGCUGCGCCGGAGGGCGCAGUCCCGCCUUUGGCGCUGCUUUUGGCUGGGGCGACCUCCCCGCGGUUGGGGUCGAGGUCGCUCCCUGGGCUCCUGAAGACGUGGCGUUGUGCUGCAGCCAGGCCGGCCGGCCCGUAAGUCGGGCGCAGGUGGGAGCCUCGGGCUCCGCGGGGCUUGUUGGGAGAGCCGAGCCGAGGGGGGCCGCCCUGUAAGCAGGGCUGUGCGUGUCCCCCGCGCUCGGCGGGAGGUGCUUGGAGGGACCCCCUGUAAUCAGGCGGGUAUCUCCUGGCCCCGGCCUUUCAGAGGCGCGGGGCCAGGAUGCGUGGGGGCCGGGCGUGCGCCCCCCCCGUCCUCGGGGCUGGGGCCGCGGCCCCCCGGCCUUUGGCCGUGAAGCUCCGCUGCCUGGCUGUCGAGUCUCGUUCCUGUGGCUGCGGGGGAAGGCCGAGCUCCCCGACUCCCUGGGUGUCGACCUGCCUGUAAGCAGGGUUCCGGGUCUGGGAGCCUUUGUGCUCAGCUGGCAGCCUGCGUGGGGUGACCGGCCCCGUUAGCGGGGUGCGGGUCGGGGUGCCCCUGAAUCGGAGAGAAGGAGCCUCCGUGGGCCUUUGGGACCAGGGCUGCCCUGUAAGUCAGGGCCCGGCCAGUGCCCUGCAGUCCCGGGCGCUUUGCGGUCCAGGCAGCGGCUCGAGCCCCCUGUAAGCAGGGACGCGGAGCCUCGUUGGCCGCUGCUUUGCAUGCCCAGCUUCGUUUGCCCAGGGUGCCCGCCUCCGAGCCCGGCUCCAGCACCGGCUGGAACUCUGGCCUGCGUCGCUUUGCGGCCGGCGGAGAAGAAAGAAGAGGCUUCGUGUGGAACGGCGAGUCAAGAGCGAGCGAGAAGAGGAGCGGCAUCGGG